UGGGGAAUCUUGCGCAAUGGGCGAAAGCCUGACGCAGCAACGCCGCGUGCGGGAUGAAGGCCUUCGGGUUGUAAACCGCUUUCAGCAGGGACGAAAUUGACGGUACCUGCAGAAGAAGCCCCGGCCAACUACGUGCCAGCAGCCGCGGUAAUACGUAGGGGGCGAGCGUUGUCCGGAUUUAUUGGGCGUAAAGAGCUCGUAGGCGGUUGGGUAAGUCGGGUGUGAAAACUCAGGGCUCAACUCUGAGACGCCACUCGAUACUGCUCUGACUCGAGUCCGGUAGGGGAGCGUGGAAUUCCCGGUGUAGCGGUGAAAUGCGCAGAUAUCGGGAGGAACACCAGUGGCGAAGGCGGCGCUCUGGGCCGGAACUGACGCUGAGGAGCGAAAGCGUGGGUAGCAAACAGGAUUAGAUACCCCCGUAGUCC
rnacentral:rRNA from 1 species